GCGGUGCUGUCCUACCUCUGGGCUGCAGCGUGAGACUCAGGUGGCAGUCUUGGGUAGGACCCGUCUUCCUGAGCCCCCACAAGCCCCCGGCACGCUCUGCUCAUUGGGGCAUGAGGCUCAGGCAGCAGGCUCAGGAUUCUGUCAUGCCUUCCCAAGAGCCUCCAGUAGACGACAAGAACGAGGACGCCGACCUUCCUUCCGAGGAGACAGAUGGAAUUGCUUACAUUUCCUCAUCCCGGAAACAUGACAGCAUUAAAGACGACUCCGAGGACCUUAAGCCAGUUAUCGAUGGGAUGGAUGGAAUCAAAAUCUCUCAGGGGCUUGGGCUGCAGGACUUCGACCUAAUCAGAGUCAUCGGGCGUGGGAGCUACGCCAAGGUUCUCCUGGUGCGGUUGAAGAAGAAUGACCAAAUCUACGCCAUGAAAGUGGUGAAGAAAGAGCUGGUGCAUGAUGACGAGGAUAUUGACUGGGUACAGACAGAGAAGCACGUGUUUGAGCAGGCAUCCAGCAACCCCUUCCUGGUCGGAUUACACUCCUGCUUCCAGACGACAAGUCGGCUGUUCCUGGUCAUUGAGUACGUCAAUGGCGGGGACCUGAUGUUCCACAUGCAGAGGCAGAGGAAGCUCCCUGAGGAGCACGCCAGGUUCUAUGCGGCCGAGAUCUGCAUCGCCCUCAACUUCCUGCACGAGAGGGGGAUCAUCUACAGGGACCUGAAGCUGGACAACGUCCUCCUGGACGCGGAUGGGCACAUCAAGCUCACAGAUUACGGCAUGUGCAAGGAAGGCCUGGGCCCUGGCGACACAACGAGCACUUUCUGCGGAACCCCAAAUUACAUCGCCCCCGAAAUCCUGCGGGGAGAGGAGUACGGGUUCAGCGUGGACUGGUGGGCGCUGGGAGUCCUCAUGUUUGAGAUGAUGGCCGGGCGCUCCCCGUUCGACAUCAUCACCGACAACCCAGACAUGAACACAGAGGACUACCUUUUCCAAGUGAUCCUGGAGAAGCCCAUCCGGAUCCCCCGGUUCCUGUCCGUCAAAGCCUCCCAUGUUUUAAAAGGAUUUUUAAAUAAGGACCCCAAAGAGAGGCUCGGCUGCCGGCCACAGACUGGAUUUUCUGACAUCAAGUCCCACGCGUUCUUCCGCAGCAUAGACUGGGACUUGCUGGAGAAGAAGCAGGCUCUCCCUCCAUUCCAGCCACAGAUCACGGACGACUACGGUCUGGACAACUUUGACACACAGUUCACCAGCGAGCCCGUGCAACUGACCCCAGACGAUGAGGAUGCCAUAAAGAGGAUCGACCAGUCGGAGUUCGAAGGCUUCGAGUAUAUCAACCCAUUAUUGCUGUCCACCGAGGAGUCGGUGUGAGGCCGCGUGCGUCUCUGUCGUGGACACGCGUGAUUGACCCUUUAACUGUAUCCUUAACCACCGCAUAUGCAUGCCAGGCUGGGCACGGCUCCAAGGGCGGCCAGGGACAGACGCUUGCGCCGAGACCGCGGAGGGAAGCGUCGGCAGGCGCUGCUGGGAGCAGAACAGUCCCUCACACCUGGGCCCGGGCAGGCCAGCUUCGUGCUGGAGGAACUUGCUGCUGUGCCUGCGUCACGGCGGACCCACGGGGACCCUGCCGAGGGGGCUGUCAUGCAGUUUCCAAGGUGCACAAUUUCCACGGAAACAGAACUCGAUGCACUGACCUGCUCCACCAGGAAAGUGAGCGUGUAGCGUCCUGAGGAAUAAAAUGUUCCGAUGAUGUGGAA
rnacentral:sRNA from 1 species